ACGUAUAUGUAUCAUCCAAGGAGCGGAAGUUUUUCUUGAUAUUACGUUGUAAAAUAGACUAUCCUCAUUUGUUUAUGCUCGAAACCUACCUUUCAUUUCAAGAAGAAGAAGCUGUGUGUGUCUGUUUAGCUCUUGGUAGUAAACAAAACGAAUUUAUGUGAUUUGCUUUAGUCAUUAUAGUGAAUCGUUUGUUAACCACUGUAAGACACAUACAAUGGGGGACGAGACUUGGGCUAAUAUACAGUUAGUGAAAAGCAAAAGGGAGAUUUUUCGUGAGAAAAUAAAGAAACGGAAAGCUGAAAGAGAGACGAUCCUGAAUUCUGCUGGUGGAGGAAACUCCACUCCCACAGCAACCUUUAUUCCAGAAAAUCAGACCACGGCUUCCACCACACCUCCACUGCUUCCAGUAGUGUCCACAAAUCUUGGUGAUGACUCCAGCUUAGAAUGUGCCUUACUAGAAUGUUUGAAUGAAGCCUUACCACCUGUACAGUCUGUGCAGCUGUCACAAGAACUUUCUGUCAAACUUAGAAGAAAUAUUUCGUCAAAGUGUGUUGAUAAUCUUUUACAAAAGUUUGCAUACAAAGAGCUUAUAAGUAUUACGCAGGGCCUGAGUGAAAAUCGUACCUCCUUAACAGUUACAGCAGUUCAGCAUAGUAAAGUCACAGCAGUACUAAGUGCUGAACAUCGUGAGAAGAAGGCUCGUUGUGUGAUUCCAGCUUUAGAAGGUGAGAAUCGAAUAGCACCAAAACUAUUAGUUGCUGCAGAUGAAAAUCCAAUAAAAAUUGCUGUUGAAGACACUGAUGUUAAGAGUGAAAAGGAGAAGAGAAAAGGGAACAAAGAAGAUGAUGUCAUGAGUUUGUUGUCAGCCCAGAGCAUACGGGAACGAGAAACAAAAAAGGUUGGAGAAGAAAUAAUGGAGUUAUUGAGUAAACCAACAGCAAAAGAGCAGAGUUUAGCCCAGAGAUUUAGAUCACAGGGAGGAGCAAAAGUUCAAGAGUUUUGUCCACAUGGUACAAAGGAGGAAUGUGAUCGAGCAACCAAAAAAAGUGGUCCAUUAUGUGGCCGUCUUCAUUUUAGAAAAAUCAUCCAAAAACACACUGAUGAAUCUUUAGGAGACUGUUCGUUUCUCAAUACCUGUUUCCACAUGGAUACUUGUAGAUACGUUCAUUAUGAAGUGGAUUACUCGGGAGUAUCGGAACAGCAGCAGCAAGAUCAGACUGGGUCGUUAUUGCUGACCCUCAGUCGACCUCGACAGGAGGAGAGAACCAUCCUUUUCCCUCCUCAGUGGAUACAGUGUGACUUAAGAUUUUUGGAUUUCUCCAUUUUGGGUAAAUUUGCAGUUAUCAUGGCAGAUCCCCCGUGGGACAUUCACAUGGAACUCCCAUAUGGUACUAUGUCUGAUGAUGAAAUGAGGCAGUUAAACAUUCCAAUAUUACAAGAUGAGGGACUUAUUUUCCUCUGGGUUACAGGAAGGGCAAUGGAAUUAGGACGAGAAUGUUUGAAACUUUGGGGUUAUGAAAGAGUUGACGAAAUUAUAUGGGUGAAAACUAAUCAGCUUCAGAGAAUUAUUCGUACGGGAAGAACAGGUCAUUGGCUUAACCAUGGGAAGGAACAUUGCUUAGUUGGGAUGAAGGGCAAUCCUAAAGUUAACAGAGGCUUAGAUGGAGAUGUUAUUGUGGCAGAAGUACGAGCCACUAGUCAUAAGCCUGAUGAGAUUUAUGGUAUUAUUGAACGUCUCUCUCCAGGAACUCGGAAAUUGGAAUUGUUUGGCAGACCUCACAACGUACAACCUAACUGGGUAACUCUUGGAAAUCAGCUGGAGGGUGUAAAUCUGCUUGAAGAAGACCUUGUCAAGUCUUUCAAGGAGCGAUAUCCUGAUGGCAUAUGUCGUAAACCAACCUCUCAGUAAUGACUGAUUGAUUAUGAAAUGUAGGUCUUGAGGACCAAGCGCCGGAAUCCAUCAGGACCUCUCAAGAUGUUGUGUGGAAAAUUACAUUGUGACUGGAGGAAGACGACUCGCCAUCGGAGCUACAUCCAACAAGCCACGUUCACCCACUCGUUUUGGUUCGGGUGUGUCUCCUUAUUGUCUGUGCAUCAUAGCUUCAAGAGCUACUUCAUCAACAGAAGUCAAGCCUUCUCCUUCUUCGAUGUUGCAUUUGCAGAAUUCAAGCCUUCUCCUGGACGUACCUUGCCCACCAUUUGUCUACUGUCAGUGCUGCUCCCUUCCAGAUUACCUUCUUUCCCUUUCCUUCUGUUGUCCUUCAGGACACGUACAAACAUUUCUUCAGUGCCAGAGUAGUUCUUAGUGUACUAGGACAUCUCUUUCUUACCUUUUUCUUUGAGAAAAUUUCCUGCUUGCCAUUUUCAGCGAUGCCAUCGCAGUUUCCAAAUGUCUAGGUUGAAGAUUCGCUCUCCAAGAAAAGAAGAAUUUGUGGUCAUGCAAAAGAAGGCCUGCAGUAGGCAGAUGUAACCUUGCCUUUGUCACAAUGUUGCAUAGCUGUGAUUUCUUUUUUGACAUUAUUGCAGUUUUCCAAGCGUCCUUAGCCAAGAUUCACUCUGCAAAGAUGUAAAUGGACGGAUGUGCAGAUGUUGCACAUCUGUGCAGACGGUGCAUGUCCAUGUUCUUUCUACAAUUGUUGCAUGACCAAAAUACAACAAUUGUUGUUUUCGCUGUUUUCUUCCAUCCCGUCCAUGGACAUGGACUUGGAGUUUCUUCUACUAACAGUUCCCCAGUUAUUGGCAGGGGUUCCGUUCCCGAUGGCAUGAUGAUAACCGAGAAUCACCAAUAACCAGGGAUCAUUGCAGAUUGGCGCUGAAAAUUCAGUUAUUGUCAUUGCUAGACAAGUGCCAUAAAACCAGAUUGCAGAUAACCUAAGACUACCUGUACUUAGCUUGUAUGGAUGUCAAGUAUGUUGAUGUUUCUUCGUUCUUUCAUAUUCCCACUCGAAAAUGUUGCCAUGGCAAGGCAUGUCUUAGGCCGCACCCACUUCACAUUCAUGUGAGGUUACAGAGACCAUUUCACACUACAACGAUUGUAUGGAUGGUGGUUAGCUGACAUCUGUGGGACAUAUGUAACAGCCACCCUCUGUAUUUAAAAAUAUCUGAGGGAUGUGCAGCUGCAGCACAACUAUUGAUAACCACCAAUGCCCCAUUACCAAGAUUUUUUUCUCAGUGCAUUAUUCAGUGGCUUGGGAAGUCUAAUGAAUAGUGCAUAUUUUUAAAAUAUUCUAACCAUCUGGAUGUAGAUCAGAGAAUGCAGCUGCUUAGUUUGCUCACCUAAGUGCUUGGGUGUUUUCAGUAAUGUAAAGGGAGAUUUGAAAAUGGGACUUCCUUCAGAAUGAAUAUAAACUGGUCCUUUAAUGCCAUAUCUUUAGAAAUAAAUUUGUUACCUGUUUUUUUUCCAGUAAACUGCCAUGUCAUGCAUACUGAAAUACUGAAAGCCUGUUCAAAUAUCAACCAUCAACAGUAAUAUAAUAAGUUUCAAGAAAUUUUUGAAGCCUCUUGUGUUAUCAAUUAAAUCUUUAUACCAUGCAGUUUGCCUUGUUUCAUCAAGUUUCAUAACUACUUUGUGCCACUUCUCUAGUUCAUUUUUCCUUAGUUUUUUUUUUUAAACAAACUGACUGCUUGUCUUAGAAAUUAUGUAACAGAGGAACACUAUCAAGGAGUCCUGGAAUUAUUACACCUUCACUGAAGCCAUAGGCAUUAAUGAAAAGUAAAAAGUGCUACGAUCCAUAGAAAGUUGGGAGUGGAGAGUAUAUGUAGAUAAAUGGUAAUACUUUAGGAAAGUUGGAACAUGCUUGAACGCUGGAAAAAUCUUUCAUCCAGAAUUUGAAAUACUGAUUAACUGACAUGAAAAAUGAGUAGGUCUCUACUAAAAGAAAACCCAUAUGUAAUUUUUACACAUGAGCUGUAGAAAACCCAUAAAAAGUAUAAUAUUCAACCAUUUAAUGUUAAAGAAGAUACUAUUAAUAGUAUUUCACAAUAUGGUAAAUCUACUACAUAAAUAAUUGGUCAUUGUGCACUGAGGAAAAUGCAAAUUACUUGUUACCAAAGAGAUGAACUGUGGGUGGCACCACAUUACCCAGAACUGCCCAACCAUAACAUGUUAAGCUGGAAGUUUUUAAUCAUUAUGGCAAGGGUUAACACUUACAAUUUUUUCACUAUUCAGGGGAUGGUGCCAAGUCAAACCUUUAUUAGGCAAUGUAAACCUGUAUUCUGACUAAAAUUUGAAUUGUGACUUAUGGUGACCAUAUACAUUUAUUUUGUGAAAUACCUGGUUCCUCUUGCUUUAAGGAUUAUGAAAAGGGGCCAUUUUAAUAUUAAAAGAAUCUAGGUUUAUCUGCAGGAAACCUCUCUUUGGGAGGAUAUAAUUUAGUUUUCAUAAAGUAGAGGUUUAUUGUCUUUGCUAAAGUACAUCAGUGGGUCUUCCUUUGAACAACUGUAGUGCUAUCAUUGUGUUGACAGCUUUUUUUAUUUCUUACUGUUGAGGUAAUCCCCACAAAAUUUGUUAACAAACCUGUUUUCCAAGAUUUGAUUACUAUUGUUAGUACACUAAGAAAUCAGCUGGAAGAAACAGUACUGCAAAUGUCAUGAAAUAUUUAUAUUGCAAAAUUUACGUAUGUAUUAAGGAGGAAAGAUGACAGCUACCUUACUAAAAGUUUUGCCUCAUGAUAUUGGUAGUGAUGAAAAUUCUCUUUUUACUGCAAGUAACAAAAUGUAGCAAGCAUCAAGCUCUAAUACAAGCUAUUAUCAGCAUAACAUCUGCUCUAGUGGAAAAAUAGCUAUUUCUAUCCCAUCUUGUUUUCCAGGCUACUUACCCUGCAUGUAUGUAACAGAAACACACACAAGGCCUCAACAUAAGAUUAAUGAUAUAGGACUUUGAUGAUAUGUUGAAACACAUCAUACCCUUACUACAUGCAACAUGAUACAGUUGCCCUAUAGACACUAGUCUGUUCCUCAAAAUAUAGUUUGAUUGGCACUUGUUUGGCAAGUACAAGUCAGGUAUUGCUGUAAGUAAAACAAGCAGCAUAUGACGGGGUAAGUGCCAAUAAAUGGCUUAACAGUGCCAUUACAUAAGUGCUUACGACACCAAUAAACCGCAUAUUGACGCCAAAAACUGCUUACUGAUGCUGAAGAUUGCUUACAUUGUUGUUAGUCAAGCACUGUAAAACUGAAAUGCUGUUAACCCUUAAUGGAUGGAUGGAUCCUAGGGGAUAGUAAUAACAGGGUUGGGGUGGUGGACGGAUUGAUCCUGUAGUUAAACAAUAUUAAGCACCAUUGAUUUGGUAAGAAUCAGGCGGGAAAGAGGUGCCAAUACUUUCAUAGCCCAUAAAUUCACUUAUGGCAACUUUUAUGCUGACUAAGAUCAUGAGUGUGGGCAUCUCAGAACUUCAGCAGUACUUGUGACUUGAAGGGGAAUGUUCUAUGUCUCUCUCACGACGUCUUUUUGUAAAUUUGCUCGUAAAUAUACCAAAGGGUUGCUGUUGUUUUUUGUUCCUGUCUUUUAUGAUAGUAUAUCGGUUGUAAAUGUAAUUUGACAAAGAAAAUUGCAAAUUAAAAAAAAAAAAAAAGUAAAAAAUAAGUUACUGAAUCUUCAGUCUCUGUAAAUUUACAUAAAUAUUUUUCAACAAAUAUGCUAAGAAAUUGUUACUGCUCUUAUUUCUUAUUUGUUUUGAUAUUGUAUGAGGAGUAAUUAUAAUUUUACAAAAUAAAAUAAUUUAUUUAUUAGAAAAAAUGUAUAAGUUGGUAAAAUUUACGAUUGUCUUGUAAAAAAGCCACAAGGGGUUGUAAUGUCUUGUAAAAAAGCCACAAGGGAUUGUAAAUAGUAAUUUUCAAGUUCACGUGGAAGGUAGGGAAAAUUUUUUAGAAUAUUUUUUUCUUUCACCGUGUACAUUUGCAUAUCUAUCUCUUUCCAUUGAUGCGUUUUUUUCAUAAAUUGGCCAGCCUCAAGUUUUCCCGGCCUGAGGAGCUGCAUAUCGAUAUAUUUGCUGUCCAGUAAGGGUUAACCAAUGCUGCCAAUAAGUGAGCACUACCUGCAUUUGGGUAUAUAACAGACCAUGCUAAAAACAGGCACUAACACGUGGUAAGUCUUAGGAAAUACUCGAGUAUGCAACUGCACUAAUCACAUAACUCAAUUGGUGAUUCCAAUUAGCCAGACCUUCCCAAAUUUCAAAGUAGAUAAUUUUUCAUACACUCAAAAUGAUGAUAGCCAUAAUUCUAUAGCCAACUCUCCUUUAUAGUAUAAGUACUUGUUUGGCAAGCAUUUUUUUUAUUAUUAUCAACAAGGCUAUGACAUGUUUGUAGGGCAUGACAUAAUGACUCCGUUACAUAUUUUACAUGAUAUAGUUUGUUGGCACAAUAUUCAUAUCUAUUCCUCAUUCAUAUCUAUUCAUAAUACAAGCAGGGUAUGAAGCAGGCAUACAAAAUAUAUGGCAUCAAAUGUCAUAACAGGUUCAAUCAACAAUUAAUUUUCAUAAAACCCAGUUGCAAUAUAUUCCAGUUAUUUCAUAACUUUAGAGGACAACACUGGAGACAGGAACUUCAGACUAGUGUAAUACCUCCAGUUACUUCAUGUCAACAUAAGGCAUUUUUUAUAUUCUGGUUGUUUUUGUUAAAAAUUAAAGGGAAAAAUGAGAAUUGCCUUUCAUCAGUUCAUGCAUCUUUAUGUUGGCCAGCAAGGAAUGUUAAAAUUCCUUAGAAAAACAUAAAUCAAUAUAAAUGUGCAGUCUUAUAAAAAUAAUGUUAUAACAUACAAAAUUAUAUAUCUGUACAUAACGUAAACAAAGAAUAAAAUCAAUUAAAAUAAAAAAAAUGCACAGAGUACUAGUUCUUGGCAUAAAUUCAAAGGCGCAGUAUUUGCAAUGUCUUAUUUACACUGAAUUUUUGUCUUGAAUUAGGUCCAAGGCUUCAAAGAGAUUCUAGUGCUAUUCCACUGGAAAAUAAGGUGGUUAUAAUAAAACCCAUGAAAUGGUAAAAACAGAUUCCAGCACAGUAAGCACAUUGUUGUCAACCAUCAGGUGGGUACAAUACCGGAUGUACAGUAUAUCGUGCUACAUACAUGAAAUUUCCUGGUUUUUCUUUAUAAUUACUAUGUGUAAUUUUACUGCAUUACAAAAAGAUGAUAAAAUGUUCAAUUACUGAAUGACUUUGUCAAGUGUAGUAUAUAUAUGUAUUAAAGUGACAUCAUGGGGUUUCUGAUAAGGUUUACAGUCUCAUUUUUUCAAGGGCUUAUUCAUCUUGGUUCAUUUUUCAACUUGGGUUGUGUGUCUUGGAAAGAAUCAAUGAAGUAGUAGUGUGUGUGGCAUUACUGUACUGGUAAUUCAAGGUGGCAGAGAUCAGUC